GACGAACGCUGGCGGCGUGCUUAACACAUGCAAGUCGAACGGAAAGGCCCUGCUUUUGUGGGGUGCUCGAGUGGCGAACGGGUGAGUAACACGUGAGUAACCUGCCCUUGACUUUGGGAUAACUUCAGGAAACUGGGGCUAAUACCGGAUAGGAGCUCCUGCUGCAUGGUGGGGGUUGGAAAGUUUCGGCGGUUGGGGAUGGACUCGCGGCUUAUCAGCUUGUUGGUGGGGUAGUGGCUUACCAAGGCUUUGACGGGUAGCCGGCCUGAGAGGGUGACCGGCCACAUUGGGACUGAGAUACGGCCCAGACUCCUACGGGAGGCAGCAGUGGGGAAUAUUGCACAAUGGGCGGAAGCCUGAUGCAGCAACGCCGCGUGCGGGAUUACGGCCUUCGGGUUGUAAACCGCUUUCGCCUGUGACGAAGCGUGAGUGACGGUAAUGGGUAAAGAAGCACCGGCUAACUACGUGCCAGCAGCCGCGGUGAUACGUAGGGUGCGAGCGUUGUCCGGAUUUAUUGGGCGUAAAGGGCUCGUAGGUGGUUGAUCGCGUCGGAAGUGUAAUCUUGGGGCUUAACCCUGAGCGUGCUUUCGAUACGGGUUGACUUGAGGAAUUGUAGGGGAGAAUGGAAUUCCUGGUGGAGCGGUGGAAUGCGCAGAUAUCAGGAGGAACACCAGUGGCGAAGGCGGUUCUCUGGGCCUUUCCUGACGCUGAGGAGCGAAAGCGUGGGGAGCGAACAGGCUUAGAUACCCUGGUAGUCCACGCUGUAAACGGUGGGUACUAGGUGUGGGGUCCAUUCCACGGGUUCCGUGCCGUAGCUAACGCUUUAAGUACCCCGCCUGGGGAGUACGGCCGCAAGGCUAAAACUCAAAGGAAUUGACGGGGCCCCGCACAAGCGGCGGAGCAUGCGGAUUAAUUCGAUGCAACGCGUAGAACCUUACCUGGGUUUGACAUGGAUCGGGAGUGCUCAGAGAUGGGUGUGCCUCUUUUGGGGUCGGUUCACAGGUGGUGCAUGGCUGUCGUCAGCUCGUGUCGUGAGAUGUUGGGUUAAGUCCCGCAACGAGCGCAACCCUUGUUCACUGUUGCCAGCACGUUAUGGUGGGGACUCAGUGGGGACCGCCGGGGUCAACUCGGAGGAAGGUGGGGAUGACGUCAAGUCAUCAUGCCCCUUAUGUCCAGGGCUUCACGCAUGCUACAAUGGCUGGUACAGAGAGUGGCGAGCCUGUGAGGGUGAGCGAAUCUCGGAAAGCCGGUCUCAGUUCGGAUUGGGGUCUGCAACUCGACCUCAUGAAGUCGGAGUCGCUAGUAAUCGCAGAUCAGCAACGCUGCGGUGAAUACGUUCCCGGG
rnacentral:rRNA from 1 species